rnacentral:lncRNA from 1 species
CUACAACAACCAGGAGCGAGCCGCGGCCCAUUAAUCACCAUUUGCUCCCUCAAAAACUAAUUGUUCGCCCCACAAAUUCCACUCGUUGGACUGCUAGUACAAGAAAAAAGAUCGACCUCCAGUUUGCGCGACAGCGAAUAUGUUCAUGAAAUAAUAAAAAGUUCAGAAAUUUAUUAAAUAUAUUCAUGAGUUUAAAAUUGUUUAUCAAAUUGGAAAAAAACUCAAACAAUACAAAUACAGAAAUUGUAAAAACCGUUCAUCAAAAUUGAAAAAAAGUUCAUCGCUUUUAGAAAAAUUCAUUGAACUGAAUAAAAAGUUCACAAAUCUUAAAAAAAUUAAUCAGUUUUGGAAAAUGUUCAUCCGUUUCCAAGGAAAAGUUCAUCAACUUUCAAAAUUUCGUCAAAAUUUGAAAAAAUAAGAUUGGUAUUUAAAAAGUUUUGUACAAUUUUAAAAAAGUGCGUAAAAAUUGAAAACAUUUAAUGAUUUAAAUUUUUUGUUGUUUGUUUGAAAAAUAGUUUAUCAAAAUUGAAAAAGGUUACGCUUUUUCAAAAUAUAAAGUGUAAAUAAAAAGAAAAUAAAAAAUGAAAAUGAAAAAAUUAAAGAAACAAAAGAAAAAAAACGAACAAAAGCCAGCCCUGAAAAAAAAACAGGUAGAAAGCUUCCAGAAGCUUCAUAAAACGGGAAAAAGCUCCCUCCGGCUGGAAACUCAAUGGGCUGUCCCAUUUUGGAACACUGCAGGCGCCAGUUAAUGAAAUGCACUUUUAUUUUCAAAUAUUUUGAACAUCCAAAUAUAUACGCUGAAGAAAAUUCGAAUACACAUUUAUUUUUUUAAUGUAAGUUGAACAAUUUUCAAAUAUGGAAUUAACAUUUUGUAAUGUAUGUUGAACAGUUUUUGGAUGCGGGUUGAACAUUUGUGUAAUGUAUAUUGAACUAUUUCUGAAUACACAUUGAACAUUUCGUGUAAUGUAUGCUGAUUUUUUUUAAUUAACAGUAACAUUUGUAGUCUCUGUUGAACAAAUUCUCAAUAUAUGAUGAACAUUCUAUAAUGUAUGAUGAACCUAUUUGUCAUAUACCGUGAACAUUUUCUUACUCUAAGAUGAACAUUUGUAAUAGACAAUAAAAUUUUGUUAAUCCAUGGAAAAAUAAGAAUGGAAAGAAAAUACAAUAAAUAAAAAUAGAAAAAGUAAAAAAG